UAGGGAAUCUUCCACAAUGGACGCAAGUCUGAUGGAGCAACAGCCGCGUGAGUGAAGAAGGUUUUCGGACCGUAAAGCUCUGUUGUUGGUGAAGAAGGAUAGAGGUAGUAACUGGCCUUUAUUUGACGGUAAUCAACCAGAAAGUCACGGCUAACUACGUGCCAGCAGCCGCGGUAAUACGUAGGUGGCAAGCGUUGUCCGGAUUUAUUGGGCGUAAAGCGAGCGCAGGCGGAAGAAUAAGUCUGAUGUGAAAGCCCUCGGCUUAACCGAGGAAUUGCAUCGGAAACUGUUUUCUUGAGUGCAGAAGAGGAGAGUAGAACUCCAUGUGUAGCGGUGGAAUGCGUAGAUAUAUGGAAGAAUACCAGUGGCGAAGGCGGCUCUCUGGUCUGCAACUGACGCUGAGGCUCGAAAGCAUGGGUAGCGAACAGGAUUAGAUACCCUGGUAGUCCAUGCCGUAAACGAUGAGUGCUAAGUGUUGGGAGGCUUCCGCCUCUCAGUGCUGCAGCUAACGCAUUAAGCACUCCGCCUGGGGGAGUACGACCGCAAGGUUG
rnacentral:rRNA from 1 species